rnacentral:tRNA from 1 species
GGAGAGGUGGCUGAGUGGCUGAAAGCGGCAGAUUGCUAAUCUGUUAUACGGGUGAAUGCUCGUAUCGGGGGUUCGAACCCCCCUCUCUCCG